rnacentral:rRNA from 1 species
UACGGGGGGGGGCAAGCGUUGUUCGGAAUUACUGGGCGUAAAGGGCUCGUAGGCGGCCAACUAAGUCAGACGUGAAAUCCCCAGGCUCAACCUGGGAACUGCGUCUGAUACUGGAUGGCUUGAAUUCGGGAGAGGGAUGCAGAAUUCCAGGUGUAGCGGUGAAAUGCGUAGAUAUCUGGAGGAAUACCGGUGGCGAAGGCGGCAUCCUGGACCGACAUUGACGCUGAUGAGCGAAAGCUAGGGGAGCAAACGGG